rnacentral:lncRNA from 1 species
CCUCGCGAGAUCUACCUACAAGAGCGCUUGUACUCUUGGGGAUAAUGUCUGAGGAACUGCUACUACCUGUGCGGCCGGGGUCUGGACUCGGAGACUGUCCUCCAAGCUUUGGGUCGUUCGCUAGGAAAAAGACUCCCUCUCCGCCGCGCUCUGGGGAUAUGUGCCUAUCUGCGGAUUCGAGGAGAUCGAGUUUCACUGGACCCGGGAGUUGGGGCCACGGCUCGGGGAGCUGAGGCCGGAGGUGUCUCCUCCGCUCCAUCCCUGCUCGGGAAUCUUUGACGCAUCGCGCUCGAGACGCCGUUGCCUGGGUUCCUGCUCGCCCAGCUUUGUGGAAGGAUAGCUGGACGUCGCGAGGCUUUAGCCUGAGCCAUCGGUCAGGCUGGGUCAGACGUGCACACUCUUGGUGUAGCCGCCGCGCCAGGGCGGAACUCCCACCGCGGCCUCGCCGGGUAGACGUGCCAGGUCUCGGGUGCCUGGCCCUGCUGCGCCUUGGCGCCCAGAGCCCUCUGCGGGGAACAGGGACUCCAGACUCACCUGGAAACACUGGUUUCGAGGAACCUCUCCACCUUUGACUCCCCAGGGACUCCUGGGACGUGCAGCCGUGUAAAAGAGCUGCUCUCUCUCCUGCCCGGGAGUCUGGCAUCUCCCCAUCACACACGCACAUCUGGAGAGGGAAAGGAAGGGCCCAGCUACAGCCCAUUACGAAGCCACCAGCAGUCCAGACCGUUCCAGCCAAUUUCCGUUGCUUGUUCCUCCUGUGUGCACGCGCACGUGCUCGCGUGUGCACACAUUCUGAAUUCAAGAUGGAGAAACUGGGCCUACAAAAGCUGGGAGGGAUUUUUUUUCCCUAGUGACCCCCAAACUCCGUACAGCUGUGUCCUGCGCCUUCAGGAGCUGGUUGCAGCCUCACACUCCUUAUCCUUAGGUCUGAGAAUGUACAAUGCGAAGAAAUACCUCAGGGCAGUUUGUUGGCUGUUGGAAGCAUUUGUACAGCUUCUUUCAGUCCACAGCACGCUUUUCUGGCACCUGCUCUGCCCUAGUCCUGGGCCCAAGCCCCGGGGACACUGAUGAUUCAGGCUUACCUCCUGAACCCCUGGCCCGGGGGUGCUCACACUGGUUGUGCCCUCUGCCUUGCCAGGCUGUGUGCUUUUCUGCAGGGAGCACAGUCUGGGCCAUGAGCAGCUGUGGUUGCUGCUAAACAAGGUUAUGGCCUGGACACACACCCAAGACCUUCCAUCCUUUGUUCAGGCCCUCCCUACCCCGAGGGGGGCCUCCCCUGUGGACACUCAGUACACUGGUACUCUAAUCCUGCAGUGGCUCCUUAGGUCUUGGCUGGAGGAGUAGUCAAGUGCUUUGACAGCCAUUCUGGUGUGGAUCCAUUCAGAGCUGCCCCUUUCAUCAAGGAUGCCCCAGCUUCCUGCAAAUUGCCAGCCUUGCCAUUUCUGCUCCUGCACCACCUCCUCCAUGUGCCCCAGCCCCUGCACUCACUGUCAGCCAGGUUGCCUGACCCAAUCACACAUCUAUGUCUCUUAUCUGCAAAGGUGGUGGCAAAUGGGGUGCUGCCAGAGGAAGGGCUGUCUGUGGCCAUGUCAGCACAGAGCCAGAUGCAGAUGAACUGUGGAAAAGUGUUUGUUGAAUGAGUGGUAUUUUAUCUUUCUCUAAAAGCUGAAGCCAAAAAAUACAUCACAACAGCUCAAAGCCUUGUGUGAGUCAGAGGUUUAAGGCUUGUUUGCCUUCUCCAUGGGCACAAAAUGCCUAUCAGGCAAGAAACUUCUUGGGGAGAUGGCAGAAUUCUCUGGCCCUUCUGCCAGAGGUGGAGCCCUUGGAGAUGUCCUCACUAGAGAGAGGAGCGACAGAGCAGGAGGGCCCCAGCAGGAGCCUCAAGCUGAGAUCAAAGGUGAUAUUUUUACAGCAACUGAAAUAGAAAACCACUGGACACAGUGGGAGGUGUUGGGGUUAAAUACUGACACCAGCUGCACCCAAGUCAGGAGUCCAGUUACCUGCAAAAGGGAGAGGCGUCUUACUCCCCCAGCCUCAUUGGCUAGGCAGGCAACAACAAUCAGCAGGAGCAUCCAAGACCUGUCACCACCAUGGCCAGUUUGGCCUGGACAUAUGAAGCUCGUUAGCUGCAUGCUCCUAAGGGCCUGAGCCCGCUUGGCAAGAAUUUCCCCAGACAGGGCAACCCAUUUGGGACCCCUCCUGUCUCCCAGGAGCUAUUCUUAUUCCUAAUUCUUAUUCUCCAUUCUUAUUCCCCAAUAAAUGUUCCUACUCUUAACCUCUGUUGUUCCUUAGACAAACGUGCCAUAUCUGAUAUCUAGCAUGAUGGGAGCAACGUCUAUUCCCCCUAUAUCCCCCCUUCUGUCUCUCUUAGACAGAAGCUAUCUUUCUCUCAAUAAAUCCUUCUUAAAUAUGGUAUUUAUACACAAUGAAGUACUAUUCUGCUCUAAAGGAUAAAUUUGAGUCAUUUGUAGAAAAAUGGAGGCACCUUGAAACCAUACUAUUAAGUGAAAUACUAUAAAUCAGACCCAAGCUCAAAUAUCACAUGGUUUCUCUUAUAUGAGAAACCCAAAGUAUAAAAAAAUUUAAAGAGCAAGUUAAAGAUAGAUAAUAGGAAACAGAGAGCUAGAUUUUUUGCAAAUGGAAAAAGUACCAAGAGAUAGAUAGAGAUGAGAGGAAGAGAAGAGGAAGUAAGAGGAAUUAAGAUGUGUUUGUUAUGUACCAAUUCCCCAUG